rfam:Asanoa hainanensis strain CGMCC 4.5593 genome assembly, contig: Ga0104436_108
CGCCCGCCGUACCGCGAGAUCUCCACCCGCUCCGUCCCUGGCGUCCCUUCCCCGGUGCCAGGCAUGGGGGCGGAUGGGGAUCUGGCGGUACGGCGAGCGAUGC